rnacentral:lncRNA from 1 species
AAAUUACAUAUUUACCCAUAUUUUUACAAUUAUAAUUAUUUAAAUAAUACAAACUAAUUUAAACCUUAACUCCUCACCCCCUACAAACAAGGCAACAUAUCUUGCUCCUCUAGACGACAUACCCCAGCUCGUUUAUCUCAAAAAUCACGUAAUCAAAUCCAUCGAAAAACAAGCCACUAAACGGUAAUAUGAAUUAAACUUAUAAAUCACAAAAUCAAAUCCACUACUCGGGAAUCAAACCCAUUCAGACCCAUAAGAUCAAACUUAGGAAUGUUAGACCUAUUCAAGGAUUCAAUUACAAAUCUGAGAGCCACCGAUUAAAAAAAUAAACCCAAUAGAAAAAACUGAAGAGUAGAUGUAAAAAAAUCAAUUGAAAAAACAGAAGACUGUAAAAAUUAAAAUUCUGGACAAAGGUGAUGUACCAAUGAUUUCAAUUUCCAUUUCUUCAUGUACUCGUUCUUAAAGAAAGUUAGAAUUCAUGUUCUUGUUAUUGAAGAAUUGCCCUUUCCAUCAUCCACCUACCAUGAACCACCACCCAUCUCUCAGCUUCGACAAGACCCAAACCAAAACAAAAUUAGAUUCAUGACUACCACAGUCCACAAUUGAGAGGAAUCAAACAAAAUCGCAAAGGAAAUUAACCUGAAAAACGAUGACUUAAUAAUUAAAAGAAAAUACUUCAAACUUCUUGAAGGUUAUAUAGAAGAAAACUGAAUGAAAUCAAAGCUUAAACCCUUGAAAUUGGAGUUGAAAUAAACUAGAUGACUUGAAAAACCCAGAAGCUGUCUUCAAAAGUCCAUAAUUUGUAUUCAAGAAAACCCAAAUUAUGUCUUAAAAACCCCCCAUAAACAAAAUUGAAGCUUAGACCCAUAAAAUCGGAACCGAUUAAAUUGGAUGUAAAAAAAACAGAAAUUAUCUUCAGUAGGACCCGGAUUUUUACUUUAAAAAAUCCAAAUAUUAUAUUGUCUUUUUCUUCCAAAGAAAAAAAAAAACAGAUAUCAUCUUCCGUAAAACCCAUAUUCAUCUUAUGUUUUGUGUUCCUCAAACGAUGAAACAAAAAUCAAGGAAGACAAAAUCACACACACCUUUAUGUUUCUUUUCUUUGAUGAUGAUGUGGUUUGAUAAAGAGCUUUCAUAAGGUUGCCGAUGUGAGAAGAUGGGAAGGAGAACGAGGGCUUCAUGUUUAACAUUAGAGAGGUCAACAAAGGGAAUGUGGGAGAUGAAAGAGUCACUUCAUAUGGGUUUAAUUUAAUUUUUUUUUAUUUUUUCAAGUUAAAAGACUAAAAUGCCACAAGCAUGUGGGUCACUUCAUAGAAAAACAAAGGGUUAACGAUGUUCGAGAUGAAACAUACAAUUUUUAAACGUAUUAG